CCUGCCCUGCUCCUGCUGGCCCCACCAUUGCUGAGCACAGAGGGACAAUCCCUGCCCUGCUCCUGCUGGCCACACCAUUGAUGAGCCCAGAGAAUCAAUCCCUGUCCUGCUCCUGCUGGCCCCACCAUUGCUGGUACAGGCCAGAGGCCAUUGGCCUUCUUGGCCACCUGGGCACAGCUGGCUCACGUUUGUGUUCAGCUGCUGCCAACCAGCACCCCCAGGUCCUUCUCCACUGGGCAGCUUUCCAGACACCCUGUCCCAAGGCUGUUGUGCUGCAUGGGGUUGGUGUGACCCAAAUGCAGGACCAGCACUGAUGCUUGUUGAACCUCACACUGUUGGCCUCAGCCCAUCGAUCCAGCCCAUCCAGAUCCCUCUGCAGAGCCUUCCUGCCCUCCAGCAGAUUGACACCCACACAGUUUGGUGGUGUCUGCAAACUGCCUGAGAGUGCCCUCAAUCCUCUAGUUCAGAUCAUCAGUAAAGAUAAUAGACAGAACUGUCCCAAACACUAGUGACCUGCCACCAAAAACCACCAAAGGGUGCAGCUCUGUUCACCACCACUCUCUAGGCCCAGCCAUCCAACCAGUUUUUAAUCCAGGACAGAGUGCAUCCAUUCACACUAUGGGAAGACAGUUUAUUCAGGAAAACAUUGUGGGAAACUGUCAAAGGAUUUACUAAAGUCUAGGCAGAAAACAUUCACGGCCUUUCUCUCAUCCACUAUGCAGGUUCCCCUGUCAUAGAAGGACAUCAGGUUGGUCCAGCAGGGCCUGCCUUCCAUAAACCCAUGUUUGCUGGGCCUGAUCCCCUGGCUGUCCUGCACCUGCUGUCUGAUGGCACUAAACAUGACCUGCUCCAUGACCUUCCCCAGCAUCAAGGUGAGACAGCCAAAGGUCUAUGGAGAAACUAGACCUCUGGCCUUUAUUGAAAUUCCAUGGAAGAUAGGCUUCCCAGAUUAUGUAGAGAACAGAAUUUCUCAGCAUUUAUUCAGAUGAGCACUUACGAUUUCUUUCACAGACACAGUAAAGAGCCACAGAGGCUGCAGCUGGACCCGAGCAGCACCUGUAUCAUUCCAAUCUGAACUGUGCAGGACACUGUGCUGGGAGGCCAUCACUGCCCUUCUGCCAGCUGCCUCACCCAGGCAAGGCUGCAGCAACCCUGGGAGACUGCUCUCACUUACACAGGGUUGUGUGACAUGAUCUGUCACUGCAGGACAGAAACACAGAGCUCACAGUUAACUUGGGUUAACUUUAACAAAGGCUUACUGAAAUCUUUGUUCUUAAAAGCUGAAUGAAUUUCCCCAGGAUUUUCCUUGAUGUAAGUAAAUUAUGUUUAUGGCUGAGUGCUGGCAGUUACAACUGUCCCUAUCCUAAGUUGUUACUUAACUCAUGGAUGCUGUGCUACUUUUCUAUUCAAAUGUGUGCAGUCAGGUUUCACUCACUGCAUCCACACAUAUCACACAAUCAUGGAAUCAUAGACUCAUAGGAUGGUUAGAAUUGGAAGGGACCUUAAAUACCAUUUAGUUCCAUCUGCCUUGCAUGGCUGUGGACACCUUCCACAAGAUCAGGUUGCUCAGAGCUCCAUCCAGCCUGGCCUUCCAGGGAUGGGGCAUCCAUAAGUUUUCUGGGCAUCCUGUUCCCCUGCCUCACCAGCCUCACACUAAACACUGAUAUAACACAGUGGUUUAUGUCUACAUAUAAUGCUCCAGCUAUACAAUAACUUCUGAAAAUACAGAACCUUUCAUUAUGAAUAAUUCACCCAAAUUAAAAUCUUACCCUCUUUGUGAAACCUGAAUCAAACAGCCUCUCCUGAUAAUAAAACUAUCAAUACAGACAAAGAUAUAUUGCAGAAGCAGUGGGUCUAUGGGCAUUAUAGAAAGCUGACAAAAAAUUAUAUAUGAAAUGGGGUUUGAGAUACGGUUUCUCUAAUAUAUAAAUAGCACUGCCUUCAUUUUUGUUAACCUCAUGUGAACAUCCUUUAAAAACAUUUAAAAUCCUAUUUAAGCAGUGUCCAUUUGCUCCAUCCACCAGGUCCACAACAAAGUCCACAGUGCAGAAACAGUGCUGUAAACCUCCCCCUGAAUGCCAGAAAUCAGGGAUGUUUCCAGGGAGCUCUUGGUAAACCUUGUCCUGAUGACAGAACUGCAGUAGCUUGCCAUGCAAUAAUUUGUUUAGAAAAUGCUAGCAGUAGGUUUACAUUCAAAAAUAAGCACAGUCCUCAUCUAAUUACAGAAUGACUUUCCAUCUCAAAUGGAAAGUCAAUAUCCUCUCAAAUUUCUAUAUGUACAUAUAUAACAUUCAUUAACUCUAUAUAUCUUAAAAAUCUAUUACAAUGUAGCUAUGUAGAUGUUCAAGGCAGAGAAAUGGAAAGCAUUUGUUCUGAAUCUACACAAGCAAAAGGACUAAGAAAUACUAGAUCACAAAGCAAAAAAAACCAACAAAAACUAACAAACUAAAAGAAAUAUUGUGAAAAGUUCUUGCUCCUAAAAAUUCUUGCUUCUUUUGAAUUACUCAGCUUGUACCAGAAAACAUCAAUAAAAAUACUUAACCCUUCAUAAUUUACUAAGUUUUAGCAAUUAAAAAUUUUUCUUAAUCACA